rnacentral:miRNA from 1 species
GGUCGGAUUCCGUGCCUGGAGU